AGUGGCGGACGGGUGAGUAACGCGUGAGAAUCUGCCUUUAGGAUGGGGACAACAGUUGGAAACGACUGCUAAUACCCGAUGUGACGAAAGGUGAAAGAUUUAUCGCCUGGAGAUGAGCUCGCGUCUGAUUAGCUAGAUGGUGUGGUAACGGCGCACCUUGGCGACGAUCUGUAACUGGUCUGAGAGGAUGAGCAGUCACACUGGGACUGAGACACGGCCCAGACUCCUACGGGAGGCAGCAGUGGGGAAUUUUCCGCAAUGGGCGCAAAAGCCUGACGGAGCAAUACCGCGUGAGGGAGGAAGGCUCUUGGGUCGUAAACCUCUUUUA
rnacentral:rRNA from 1 species